AUACCAGCCUGAGGUGACGCCAAGUCAAGGACAGGGUGUAAUACCAGGACACUUUAACCCUGUGAGGGUCCCUCCUAGUCUCGACUCUAAUGGUGGCAACUGAUCAGUAAAUAAGAGUCGGACACCUGCACAGGAUGGCCAGAUUAGGUCAGGUGAUGGGCAUUAACUAAUGGUGGGCAUGGAUGUUAGGUAAUGGUGGGUAUGGACAUUAGCUAAUGGUGGGCAUGGUCAAUAUCUAAUGGUGGGCAUGGAUAUUAGGUAAUGGUGGGCAUGGUCACUAGGUAAUGGUUGGCGUGGACAUUAGGUAAUGGUGGGCAUAGAUAUUAGGUGAUGCUGGGAAAGGUCAUUAGGUAAUGGUGGGCAUGGAUGUUUGGUAAUGGUGGGCAAGAUCAUUAAGUAAUAGUGGGCAUGAACAUUAGGUGAUGGUGGGCAUGGAUAUUGGAUAAUGGUGGGCAUGGUCCAGAAGGAGCAGAGUAUUUGGCACAGAUAAUAUGUACUGUAGUAUACACUUGCUAGUUGAAAUGCUUGUGCCAUGCUGGCAUCUCUUUGCCACGAUGCCACGUGACGAUAUUUGCC